UGACUCCCAUUUCUGUGCCAGACCUGGUGUUGGGACUUCACAGGGACCCUUCAUCUUCAUCUUGUAACGACUUUUGAGGCAGGUACUGCUGCUUUUGUCAUCUGAAUUGGGAGACUAGAAAGUCCCAACGAUUUGCUGUGGUCACACAGCUAGUAAGUAGUGGACCAGGCUCUAGAACUCUGCUCUUAUUCCAGCGCCCCAACUCUUUACCACUGGGCUGCAGCUCCAUGGCUGGGGGCUCUGGGGAAGGAGUAUUCUUGCCUUCAAGAGAUCAAAUUAUCUGGGAUCACAAGAGGGAUGAUGCUCAGGCCAUAGCUCCAGAGUCUACUCUCAGCUGGGCACAGAGCAGAGGCUAUGUCCCCAGUGAGGGCUGCUUGGGAGACCUAAGCCACAUCAUAGUGACGGUGGUGCCCAGGGCAGUGCUGGUCUGCUGUGCCAGGGUAUGCAUGGCCUAGGACUGAGUCUCUGAGUUGCUGUUGAACUGAAAAGCCUUCGGAAAAGCUUCUCCAUAGGCCUCUAAAAAUGCACGGUGGCCUGGAAAAGCUGAUUAAUAAGUCACAUAAUUAAGCUGUGACAUUGCCAUCCUUUCAACAAAAAUGACAUAUUAGCAUUUCUCUGUUCACCUAGAAAUUCAUCACACACUCCGAGAAUACAGAGAGAGCCAGGAACAUUCAGGAGGUUUUGCUUUGUGUAUGGAUCUAUUGCUUCAUUCAUCAAAUGUCCCUGAGGCCCCAGACCUGUCCUGAGGGACCUCAGAGUCUCUGGGGGAGAUGGGGAAGUAUUUGGCAAUGUAG
rnacentral:lncRNA from 1 species